GUGCUUGCUUCAGCAGCAUAUAUACUAAAAUUGGAACUAUACAGAGAAGAUUAGCAUGGCACAUGCGCAAGGAUGACACGCAAAUUCGUGAAGCAUUCCAUAUUUUU
rnacentral:snRNA from 1 species